rnacentral:siRNA from 1 species
AACAAUUACAAGUCCGACAC